GAUCAUGGCUCAGGAUGAACGCUAGCUACAGGCUUAACACAUGCAAGUCGGAGGGGCAGCAUGUUGGUUGCUUGCAACCGAUGAUGGCGACCGGCGCACGGGUGAGUAACGCGUAUCCAACCCUACCCUUGUCCAUCGGAUAACCCGUCGAAAGGCGGCCUAACACGAUAUGCGGUUCACCGCAGGCAUCUAACGUGAACGAAAUGUGAAGGAGAAGGAUGGGGAUGCGU
rnacentral:rRNA from 1 species